GUCAAAUCAUCAUGCCCCUUAUGACCUGGGCUACACACGUGCUACAAUGGCCGUUACAAAGGGCAGCGAAGGGGCGACCCGGAGCCAAUCCCGGCAAAGGCGGUCUCAGUUCGGAUUGCAGGCUGCAACUCGCCUGCAUGAAGUCGGAAUUGCUAGUAAUCGCGGAUCAGCAUGCCGCGGUGAAUACGUUCCCGGGUCUU
rnacentral:rRNA from 1 species